rnacentral:rRNA from 1 species
AUGAACGCUAGCGGGAGGCCUAACACAUGCAAGCCGAGCGGUAGAGUUUCUUCGGAAACUUGAGAGCGGCGCACGGGUGCGUAACACGUGUGCAACCUACCUUUAUCUGGGGGAUAGCCUUUCGAAAGGAAGAUUAAUACCCCAUAAUAUAAUGAUUGGCAUCAAUUAUUAUUGAAAACUCCGGUGGAUAGAGAUGGGCACGCGCAAGAUUAGAUAGUUGGUGAGGUAACGGCUCACCAAGUCAAUGAUCUUUAGGGGUCCUGAGAGGGAGAUCCCCCACACUGGUACUGAGACACGGACCAGACUCCUACGGGAGGCAGCAGUGAGGAAUAUUGGACAAUGGGUGAGAGCCUGAUCCAGCCAUCCCGCGUGAAGGAUGACGGUCCUAUGGAUUGUAAACUUCUUUUGUACAGGGAUAAACCUACCCCCGUGAGGGUAGCUGAAGGUACUGUACGAAUAAGCACCGGCUAACUCCGUG